GACGAACGCUGGCGGCGUGCUUAACACAUGCAAGUCGAACGGAAAGGCCCUGCUUGCAGGGUACUCGAGUGGCGAACGGGUGAGUAACACGUGGGUGAUCUGCCCUGCACUUCGGGAUAAGUCUGGGAAACUGGGUCUAAUACCGGAUAGGAGCCAUUUUUAGUGUGAUGGUUGGAAAGUUUUUUCGGUGUAGGAUGAGCGCGCGGCCGAUCAGCUUGUUGGUGGGGUAAUGGCCUACCAAGGCGGCGACGGGUAGCCGGCCUGAGAAGGUGGACGGCCACAGUGGGACUGAGACACGGCCCAGACUCCGACGGGAGGCAGCAGUGGGGAAUAUUGCACAAUGGGCGUAAGCCUGAUGCAGAGCCGCCGAGGGGGGGAGGACGGUCUUCGGGUUGUAAACGCCUUGCGCUAGGGACGAAGCUUUUUGUGACGGUACCUAGAGAAGAAGCUCCGGCUAACUACGUG
rnacentral:rRNA from 1 species